GACGAACGCUGGCGGCGUGCUUAACACAUGCAAGUCGAACGGAAAGGCCCUGCUUUUGUGGGGUGCUCGAGUGGCGAACGGGUGAGUAACACGUGAGUAACCUGCCCUUGACUUUGGGAUAACUUCAGGAAACUGGGGCUAAUACCGGAUAGGAGCUCCUGCUGCAGGGAGGGGGUUGGAAAGGUUCGGCGGUUGGGGAUGGACUCGCGGCUUAUCAGCUUGUUGGUGGGGUAGUGGCUUACCAAGGCUUUGACGGGUAGCCGGCCUGAGAGGGUGACCGGCCACAUUGGGACUGAGAUACGGCCCAGACUCCUACGGGAGGCAGCAGUGGGGAAUAUUGCACAAUGGGCGGAAGCCUGAUGCAGCAACGCCGCGUGCGGGAUGACGGCCUUCGGGUUGUAAACCGCUUUCGCCUGUGACGAAGCGUGAGUGACGGUAAUGGGUAAAGAAGCACCGGCUAACUACGUG
rnacentral:rRNA from 1 species